ensembl:lncRNA
GUAACCACGGCCCCAUAAGGGCCACCCUAUAAGUAACCACAGCCCCAUAAGUGAACACGGCCCCAUAAAACCGCCCCAUAAGUGAGCACGGCCCCAUAAGAACGCCCCAUGAGUGAGCACGGCCCCAUAAGUGAACACAGCCCCAUAAGUGAGCGCGGCCCCAUAAGUGAGCGCGGCCCCAUAAGUGAGCGCGGCCCCAUAAGGCCGCCCCACAAGUAACCACAGCCCCAUGAGGCCGCCCCACAAGUAACCACGGCCCCAUAAAGGCCGCCCCAUAAGUAACCACGGCCCCAUAAGGCACCCCCAUAAGUAACCACGGCCCUAUAAGGGCCCCCCCAAUAAGUAACCACAGCCCCAUAAGGCCGCCCCAUAAGUAAC